GUAAGAAGAUGCUUUCUAUGAACCAGGAACAAGUCCUCACCAGACACCAAGUGUGCUGGCACCUUGAUCUGGAAUUCCCAACUACCAGCAUGGGACAUCUGAUGAGCUUGGAGUAUUGCUUGGCUUCCCACAGAUAACACGAAGAUGAGAACACCUCUCCUUGAGGCAGAGGCAGAAUGGCAUUGUCGUCUUGAAAGCCAGUAUCAGGUGGUGAAAUCUUUAUGAAGACACCAUCAGAAUAUUACAGAAAAUCCAGGGAAUAUGGAAGGGUAAG